AACUAUAUCUAAUUGAUAUUAACAUAAAAAAAAAAUUGUCGCUAAGUUCGCUAUUGAUCGCUAAGACCCAUAUAGUGAUACUUGGUCGCAUGGCUACAUAGCGCACUAUAGCGGUCGCUAUAGCCGCUAUUAACAACUAUGGCGGAGAAGGGGUGACAAUUUAAAUCGUUGGAGAAGGUGAUGAAACAUGAGUAGAUUUUCUGCAAUUUAAUUUUAGUUUACCUAUUCUCGGUUAGGCAAACGUGCCCAUCAUUUCCAACAGUGUUUCGGUUUUAAAGUUAUUUUAUUAUUACUAUAAUUUAAAUUAUAAUAAGGCAUGACAUAUCAAGGGAGGUACAAGGUAUCCCAAGUCCUACAAGACGCUGCGGAUGCUGGUCUUUUUGGUAUGUCGCACAAGUGCUUUUGUUGAAGGUUUCUGAAGAUAAAGCGUUACGAAUUUCACCAGGAGUAUAAGAUGAACGUGUAUUUCAGGGAUUGGAUUUUGUGGAGGCAGAAGCUAGAAAAUAUGGUCUUCCGUUGAUAUUAAGUUUUGUUAACAGUUAUAAAGACUUUGGAGGGAGAUCACAAUACAUUAAGCAGGCUAGAAGUUUGGGCGUUCUGAUUUAAUAGUGAUGAUGAUUUCUACACUAACCCUAGGAUCAAAGGGUAUUCCAGGAACCAUGUUGAGAGAGUUUAUAAAAGUAGCUAUAAAUAUAUGAAUUUGUGCUUAUGGGAGGCCUCACAAAAUGCAUUUUGUAAUCGAAAGAAUUUGGAAGACCCACAUGACAUUAAACCUUGCAAUAUAUAUAUUUUUUUGGAAAUUUUUAAAAUGGAUGAUUUAGCUUGAUGUUCUAACCCGGGGAUGAAGCAAAAUGAAAAAAAAAAUCUUUUAAAUAAACCUAACAUUGCAUCUCGCAUACUGAUACUAGAUACAUUUAUAAU